rnacentral:rRNA from 1 species
AUACGUAGGGUGCGAGCGUUAAUCGGAAUUACUGGGCGUAAAGCGUGCGCAGGCGGCUUUAUAAGCCAGAUGAGAAAUCCCCGGGCUCAACCUGGGAACUGCAUUUGGAACUGUAAGGCUAGAGUACGGCAGAGGGGGGUAGAAUUCCACGUGUAGCAGUGAAAUGCGUAGAUAUGUGGAGGAAUACCGAUGGCGAAGGCAGCCCCCUGGGUCGAUACUGACGCUCAUGCACGAAAGCGUGGGGAGCAAACAGGAUUAGAAACCCUAGUAGUCC